rnacentral:rRNA from 1 species
CACCUAGGCGACGAUCCCUAGCUGGUCUGAGAGGAUGACCACCACACUGGAACUGAGACGGUCCAGACUCCUACGGGAGGCAGCAGUGGGAAUAUUGCACAAUGGGGCAAGCCUGUGCAGCCAUGCCGCGUGUGAAGAAGGCCUUCGGGUUGUAAGCACUUUCAGCGAGGAGAAGGUGGUGGCUUAAUACUUCAUCAAUUGACGUUACUCGCAGAAGAGCACCGGCUACUCCGUGCCAGCAGCCGCGGUAAUACGGAGGUGCAAGCUUAAUCGGAUUACUGGGCUAAAGCGCACGCAGGCGGUUGUUAAGUAGAUGUGAAAUCCCCGGGCCAACCUGGGCUGCAUUUGAACUGGCAAGCUAGAGUCUCGUAGAGGGGGGUAGAAUUCAGGUGUAGGUGAAAUGCGUAGAGAUCGAGGAAUACCGGUGGCGAAGGCGGCCCCUGGACGAAGUGACGCUCAGGUGCGAAACGUGGGGAGCAACAGGAUUGAUACCCUGUAGUCCACGUGUAAACGAGUCGAUUUGGAGGUUGUGCCCUUGAGGCGUGGCUUCCGAGCUAACGCUUAAAUCGACCGCCUGGGGAGUACGGCCGCAAGGUUAAAACUCAAAUGAUUGACGGGGCCCGCACAAGCGGUGGAGCAUGUGGUUUAAUUCGAUGCAAGCGAAGAACUUACCUACUUUGACAUCCGAGAACUUUCAGAGAUGGAUUGGUGCCUUCGGGAACUUGAGACAGGUGCUGCAUGGCUGUCGUCAGCUCGUGUUGUGAAUGUUGGGUAAGUCCCGAACGAGCGCAACCCUUAUCCUUUGUUGCCAGCGGUUCGGCGGGAACUCAAGGAGACUGCCAGUGAUAAACUGGAGGAAGGUGGGGAUGACGUCAAGCAUCAUGGCCCUUACGAGUGGGCUACACACGUGCUACAAGGCGUAUACAAAGAAAGCGACCUCGCGAAGCAAGCGGACCUCAUAAAGUACGUCGUAGUCCGGAUUGGAGUCUGCACUCGACUCCAUGAAGUCGGAUCGCUAGUAUCGUAGAUCAGAAUGCUACGGUGAAUACGUUCCCGGGCCUUGUACACAGCCCGUCACACCAUGGGAGUGGGUUGCAAAAGAAGUAGGUAGCUUAACCUUCGGGAGGCGCUUACCAUUUGUGAUUCAUGAAGUCGAGCGGUAGCACAGGGGAGCUUGCUCCCUGGGUGACGAGCGGCGGACGGGUGAGUAGAACUGCCUGAUGGAGGGGGAUAACUACUGGAAACGGUAGCUAAUACCGCAUAACGUCG